rnacentral:rRNA from 1 species
UAGGGAAUCUUCGGCAAUGGACGAAAGUCUGACCGAGCAACGCCGCGUGAGUGAAGAAGGUUUUCGGAUCGUAAAACUCUGUUGUUAGAGAAGAACGUUGCAUAGAGUGGAAAAUUAUGCAAGUGACGGUAUCUAACCAGAAAGGGACGGCUAACUACGUGCCAGCAGCCGCGGUAAUACGUAGGUCCCGAGCGUUGUCCGGAUUUAUUGGGCGUAAAGCGAGCGCAGGUGGUUUAAUAAGUCUGAUGUAAAAGGCAGUGGCUCAACCAUUGUGUGCAUUGGAAACUGUUAGACUUGAGUGCAGUAGAGGAGAGUGGAAUUCCAUGUGUAGCGGUGAAAUGCGUAGAUAUAUGGAGGAACACCGGUGGCGAAAGCGGCUCUCUGGACUGUCACUGACACUGAGGCUCGAAAGCGUGGGUAGCAAACAGGAUUAGAUACCCUGGUAGUCCACGCCGUAAACGAUGAGUGCUAGUUGUUUGGGGCUAUCCAGCCUAAGUGACGCAGCAAACGCAUUAAGCACUCCGCCUGGGGAGUACGACCGCAAUGGUUGAAAC